CGUGGGUAACCUGCCCAGAAGUGGGGGAUAACAUUUGGAAACAGAUGCUAAUACCGCAUAAAAGUCAAAACCACAUGGUUUUGAUUUAAAAGAUGGCCUUUGUGCUAUCACUUCUGGAUGGACCCGCGGCGUAUUAGCUAGUUGGUAAGGUAACGGCUUACCAAGGCAAUGAUACGUAGCCGAACUGAGAGGUUGAUCGGCCACAAUGGGACUGAGACACGGCCCAUACUCCUACGGGAGGCAGCAGUAGGGAAUCUUCCACAAUGGGCGCAAGCCUGAUGGAGCAACACCGCGUGAGUGAAGAAGGGUUUCGGCUCGUAAAACUCUGUUGUUAAAGAAGAACGUAUCUAAGAGUAACUGCUUAGGUAGUGACGGUAUUUAACCAGAAAGCCACGGCUAACUACGUGCCAGCAGCCGCGGUAAUACGUAGGUGGCAAGCGUUAUCCGGAUUUAUUGGGCGUAAAGCGAGCGCAGGCGGUUUUUUAAGUCUGAUGUGAAAGCCUUCGGCUUAACCGAAGAAGUGCAUCGGAAACUGGGAGACUUGAGUGCAGAAGAGGACAGUGGAACUCCAUGUGUAGCGGUGAAAUGCGUAGAUAUAUGGAAGAACACCAGUGGCGAAGGCGGCUGUCUGGUCUGUAACUGACGCUGAGGCUCGAAAGCAUGGGUAGCGAACAGGAUUAGAUACCCUGGUAGUCCAUGCCGUAAACGAUGAAUGCUAAGUGUUGGAGGGUUUCCGCCCUUCAGUGCUGCAGCUAACGCAUUAAGCAUUCCGCCUGGGGAGUACGACCGCAAGGUUGAAACUCAAAGGAAUUGACGGGGGCCCGCACAAGCGGUGGAGCAUGUGGUUUAAUUCGAAGCAACGCGAAGAACCUUACCAGGUCUUGACAUCUAGCGCCAAUCUCAGAGAUGA
rnacentral:rRNA from 1 species